GGAUGUGACUGUGACUUCAUGUGACUUCUGCCAGUCAACCCAUCGAUCGCCAGUGUUGGUUCAGCUGAUCUGGCUGGCUCCGGGUGUAUCUGCUUCCUCCCUUGAUGGUCCAUGGGUAUCUCUCUGGAAGCUACAUGCUCCAGAAUAUAGGAGGAGCAGUCUUUGGUCAAGAGUAGACAAGUAACUGUGGUCCCUUGCUAGAAUUUCCAGAGAAGCAUUCAAGAUCCAUUUUUGUUCUUAUUUGUGUUUUCAGUUGCCUACAAAGAUCAGUAGAGGGUGUGAGAUCCCGCCAGCU
rnacentral:snRNA from 1 species